AUGCUAACGAAGCCCCAGGAAUGUUGCACAUUUCCAUUCCCCUCCAGCUUUCGGAGGAGGUUGGUCCCCGCUGCGGGUAGCCGCUCCGAGGAGCACAGCCCCGAGGCCACACUUGCUCCGGGCGCCGCCCCGCACCUUCCGCAGGCGCGGCCGGAGAUGCCGGCGAGACGGCUGUGGUGGGCGCGCUGCUUGCUCGGCGUCUGCCUCUCGCUGCUGGGCUCGGGGGGCGUCUCAGCGGAUCCCUGCCGCGGACCCCCGUGCGAGGGCGGCUCCGCUCCCCCGCCGCCCUGCCGCGGACCCCGCUGCGGCGGCCGGGCCGGGCGCCCGGCGCGCUCCUUCCUGCACACCGCCGCUCCGCUGCGGCCGCCGCAGGGCAGGGCACUGCCCGCAGCCCCGCCGCCCGCCUGCCCCGGCGGGGACUGCGCCGCCAACGCCACCCGCCGCGACUGCCAGGGCCUGGAGUGCCGCCUGCUGCCCGCCCGCCUGCGGCCGCGGCCCCGCGGCCCGGGCUGCGCCGCCCCCGCCGAGGGCUGCCCCGAGCCCGCCCUGCUGCGCGCCGCCGACAGAGCCGCACAGUUCGCGGGGGACGACUUCGGCCCCGCCGCUCCCGAGCGAGGCGGCGGCGCCCCGGGGGUACAGCUCACCUGCGACGUCAAGCCAGCCAGUUUCAUCAGUACCACACCUACUGCCUGGAAGACUCCUGCCAACUGCAGCUGAACCACCACUUCUUUUGGCCAGGUGAAGAUGUUGGAGUGCAGACUCAUAGUCCCAUUUCACAUCAGAUGAGCCCAUUGUCCCAGCUAUUUCUCAGCAGCACUGUGAGUGCACCUUACUUCAGAUGGAAGACUGGCAUCCCAAAAGAAGGAAUGCACAGAAACUGGGUUUUGUUGUCUUAUCCUGGUCUUUGUUUUCUCAAAUCCAGUAUAUUGCAAGCUACUUUAAUAUUUAAGUUAAUGCUGAAAAAUGAAAAUGAACAUGUGCCUUAUGCUGUGAGUAAAACUAAGCAAACAGUAAAAUAUUUUGGAACUGUAAACAAAAACUGGAUAUGGUCUUUGUUCAUUGUGUCAUCCUUCACAUCCUGUGCUUGUGAGAAUAAAAAUUAGUGCUGCUUAAGAGCA
rnacentral:lncRNA from 1 species